GGUGGUGACGGUGGUGACGCUGGUGGUGGUGGGGAUACUGGUAAUGAUGAUAAAGAUAACGGUGAUGGUGGUGGUGAUGUUUUCACGACCUCCAAUUCUCUCCUUCAGGGAACGCUCCUGUUUUCUGCCUCCCCUGCUGUGACACAGAACUUCACAGAUGUGAUGAUCUCUGGGUGGGUGGCGGGUACGGGACUGUGGGUGAGAGGAGAGCUCUCAAAGGCAGGAACAGACCCGUGUCCUGAAUGAUGUCAGCUACAUCACCUCGCCUCCUGGCCUCCGGUUUCUCCAUCUGUGAAACAGUGAGGUUGAACGGGGUGAUUCCUAAAGGGUCCUUCUGGGUUUAAGGUUUUCUGACGCGGUUUUUGUUUUACAGCAAGUGGUUUUGCAAGGAUCCCUCUUCCUCCUUCAGAUAUUUAUCUUUUCUGCCAUCGUUUCAACAAAGCCUGUCUUGGUGGUGCCUUUACCUGGACAUCCAGCAACAAGCAGGCAUUUGACAUGCAGAGAUACAUACACACAGGGUUACUUCUGUGUGUGAGAGAGCGUGUGUGUGUGUGUGAGUGCACGCACACCCAGCAGACCCCCGACAUCCCAGAAUGCAGACAUCAAUGCCUCCAAGACCCACAAAUUCAGCACAGCUAAGUCACUGACUUCACGGAGAACAAACAAUCAAGCUCCAGCGCGGCUCCUGGGUGGCUGGCUAGGUUCAUCCCCAGCGCGGCUCCUGGGUGGCUGGCUAGGUUCAUCCAAAGUUACGUAUCCCGGGGAGGGCGGGGACAGGAGCACCGCACCCCCAAGGCCACACCCACUCCAGUGCACCUGUGAAUGCCAGUCGCUGGAGAGACGUGACUUUCCAGCACAGACCUAGGGGACUGGACCGGAGCUCUGCUUCCAGGAAGCGUGGCUGGAGACCUUGAGCGAGUCACCUCUCUGCGUGGAGCUCAGGUCCCCUCCUGCUCCCUGCGGGGAUGGUCGGUCCUGCCCGGCCUCUCUCGAGAUUAUCGUGAGGACUGAACCGCUGGACAUGCACCAAACCCUCCGUGCACUGUCGGGUCCCGUGUGAGCAUGGGGCGGAUUUUCCAGGCGUGUGGCUGCACGCAUUUUAGGAUAAGUGAGCACCUGCGACCCCAGACCUCCUCCCAGGGCUGUGCCAGGGAUGCAGGAUGUCAUGCUGCUCAGUGCCCAGCUCACAGCAAGAGCUUCGAAAACUAAUCUCCUUCUCCCCCUUCCACUCCCUCUUCCUCUCCCCCUCCCUCUUCAUUAUAAUCAUUAUUACUAAUUGUUAUUCUACACAAAGCAAAGACACGCUUUAGUUAGAAAACACGGAAAGGGACCAGUGAUGUCUUCAAAUGGACACCACCAGCUCUUAGCUCGCUCCAGAGCAGACGCUUCUAAAACAGCCUACAGGUGGUGGGGGGGUCUGAGGCCCCCGCCGGCACCGUCCUUGCUGUACUGGGGCUGAGGGGCUACGGCUGCCGUGUGGCUGUCCCCUAGGGAAGCUUGUCUAGUCCCCGUCCUGUCUUCCUGUGGCCAGGGCCUCCUGUGAGCUGCCUGCUGAAGGGGAGACUAAAUGUUUGAACAUAUGCAGACACGCGUGAUGGAGGGGCCGCAGGACCUGGGAGCUGGAAGCCGGGGGCACCGGGAUGAGCAGAGCCCCGCUCGGAGCAGCUCGUAAGAGAUCUCUGCAGGGAGACGCCUCUUUCAUUCACCAAGAGAAAAGCAAAGUGUAGCGGAGUGAGCUGUGUCCCCCUAAAAGAUAUGCUCAAGUUCUCACUACCAUUGCCUGUGAAUGGGCCUUAUUUGGAAACAGGGUCUUUGCAGAUGUCAUCAACUUAAGAUGAGAUCAUGCUGGACUAGGGUGGUGAUUCCAAUAGCUGGGGUCUUUAUGAAAAGAGGGGGAUUUGGACAGACUCAGGAAAAAGGGCCAUGUGAUCGUGGAGCCCCCUGGAGCUGGAGGAGGCAGGAGGGACCCCCCAGAGCCUCUGGAGUGAGCAUGGCCGCACGACACCUGGAUCUGGGGCAUCUGGCCCCAGAACUGUGAGAGGAUACAUGUCUGUUGCUUUAACCCACCUGGUCUGUGGUGAUUUGUUAUGGCUGCCCUGGAAAACGCAGGCACCACCCGGGGAACCAAGAAACAGGCGGCUUGAGGAAGAAAUACCACGGCCGAUGCACAGGACACGCUGCUUCCGUGAAGCGUGGACACGUCAGUGAUGUGACACUGUGCUGUUUUUCUUCAGCAAAUUGUCAAAGAUUUAAAACACAUAGACUCUGCGAGUCUGGCCAGGGCAUGCGACAAGGAUAACUCACAGGGCUGUUUCCCAGAGCCUUCUUGCCUUUCGUGAGUUCAUCCUGGAAGCAGUCAGACCAGGUGAGGUGUGUCCUCCCCCCACCUCGUGAUGUCUAAGGUGGACGUGAUCUACAUAAAAGCCGCGAUAGAGCCUGACGCCAGAAAGCACUGGAAUCCCGCGUCCGCUGCCCAGGAAACUGUUCCUUCUGUGUCAGCGUGAAAAGCCACUUACAAGAGAUGUCGGUGCUAAUUUUAUGAAAAAGCAACGAGACCUGUGUGCUCGGGGCACGGGAGCCUGCCGAGUCAGCAGUGGGCACUCCCUGGGUUGCAGAGUCAAGCGGAAUUUUGAAAUUUCCCUGUUUGCGUUUUGCUGUAGUUUCCAAACUUUGUGUAAAAAACAGGUAUUAUGUUUGAAACAGGAAAACAAUGCAAUUAAAAGCAGUGGUCUUGGCCCAAGAGCUCAAAGCCACCGCCUGCUGGCCUGCUGGGGCUCAAGUUGGUGGCGGGGGCGGGGGUGUCCCCGGGGCGGGACCGGACGGAGCAGACAGCUGUGGUUUCUGAGGCCGCGGCGGGGGCAGCUUGUUGUGACUGUUCUGAAGUCCCUGAGGCUCGGGUCGAUGGUCCGGCGGUGGCUUCCGUGACUGCGCAGCCCUCACCGCCCCCCCCCCAGCCCUGUGACAGCCUGCUUUGUCAUCUGAGAGACGGGGUGGUGGGACAGUGUCACCCCAUGGAACUGUCACGAGAAUGCCCAUGUGCUCUGGGAGCGCUAUGUGAACUGAGCACCCUGCCACCAGAUGAGGGGCUGGGCCCAGAGAUGCCAAGUGAUUCACCUCAGGUCACACAGCAAUGGGCUGUGGGCCAACAUUAAACCCUACUUUGUCCGACCUCAAUUCCCACGUUCUUUCCACAUGGAGAAGUGGGAGAGGAGGCCUCACAGGUCCAGGUGUGGAUGGGCGGCCCCCUGGACCUGCUGCACCGACCUCAGGCUGAUUUGGAGCACCCACAAGGACCAGCUCGGCCCUGCCUACAGGCCGACGGCAUGGAGGGGCCCAGGGAAGAAGCAAGCAGGCCUGAUCCCAAGGGCUGGAUCUGCACGUCAUUUGCAUGCCAGACUGGACGUGGUCCCCCGACGGUGGGUGCAGGGCAUGGCCUGGGAGGUGGGCUCCUGUGUGAAACGGCCAGGGAGGGACUCCUGAGGUCAGCUGACGUGCGGCCAGAGCCUGUGUGGGGCUCAGUGUCACCGGCUCAGUGUUGGCUCCUGGACACUUGUUACCAGCCUGGGGUCAGCCGGACUGGGUCCUCCUGGAGGAAGUGCCACUGAGGCCAGGGGGGCAGGGUGACUUGUCUGAGGGUGCCCAGCAGGAAGUGGCCCCUGCUCCAGGACAGACCGUGGGGCUGGACCUACCUCCAGGGAGGGCUUAUUCCCCGGAGGGGGAGGGGGAGUCCCUGGCCAGAGAGUUCCCUGAGGCUGGGCCACUCCCCACUCCCCUCAGAGGAGGAGAACGAUGGGGCCAGGCCCUCAGGUUCAACAAGGAGCACAGCCACCGCAGAGGCCACGCUCCCCGGGCCACACGCUCCCCGGGCUGCUCCCAGCCAACGACCAAGCUCCAUCCCCGGAGAAGCAGGGCCUGACGGCAUCACAAAGCCUUCAAAGGCGAUGGCAGAGCCGUCAGGCCUCUGAGACCCGGCAGGGGACCCUGCUUUGUCUGCUGCUGGAGCGGGGCUGCGUCCAUCCCCGGGGGAGCCCUCCAGAGACUCGCAAGCACGCACGGUCGUCGUCUCCACCGUCCUCCCCUCUCCUCGGUCCAUCAAGGCCGUCAUGGGCUCCGGAGACCGACCCAGAGGCCCGGCCAUCUGUCCGAAGGCCCAGGCCCUCGACGCCAAACCCCCUUCCUGGAGCAGAGGCGGGGUGAGCGCACAGGCCUGCCUGUGUUUGAUACAAGCGCUGGAUUGUUCUCUCUGCCCUUGUCGGCUAUUAUGCGGAGGCCAGUCCUAAAAUAAUAUCACAUUUCCUCUCUCAUCAUUUGGACGGAGGAUGCGCAUCCGGGAUCGAGCUGGAUGGCGUGCUUUCAUGUGCAGGCACCGGGGGCUUCCGUGCCACCGCCCAGGGGCUCUGUGCCGGCCGCGUCCCCCGAGUCCCCAGCGUGGGAGCUGCUCUGACGGGGGCACUGCUUCUGUUUUUUCAUAAAUACGUCUCUCGGAAAGUUGGUCUCUUCACCGGAGUGUUCAGCAUUCCAGACGGGGCCCUGGACCCCAGGGGCCGGAGCCAGUGACCGGCUGGUGACGGAAGGCAGGUCUGGCUCGAGAAGGCGCCCCUGGGGGAUGGUGGUGCCUGGCACGUGCUAGGUAGUCAGCACACACUCGGGGGGACGCCAGCACAGGGAGCCCUCGCACAGGCAGCCUCCUCUCUGCAGCCACGGUCGCUUUGCUUUGCCUUCUAAGUGCGUGCUUUAGUUUAUCACAGCGCCUGGGAUGUGUGCUUCCUUCUGAGAGCCUCAGGGCCUCCCUGUGUUCCUUGCCGUGGCAAGUGUUCCGGUGCCCUCAGCGCGAGGGAAGUGGGCGGAGGCCGCUCCUCGUGGGCCUCCUGGGGGAGGGUGAAGCCCAGGCUUCCGCGCCACUCAGACCGCUUUCAAAUCCCAGCCCGUCACUAGUUCUGGUACCUUGGGCUUCAGCUCUCCUGGUGAAGCAGUUUCAAAGGCAGGACCUGGGAUGGAGACCCAGCCGUUUGCUCCCGUUGCUAGAAUCACUGUGAUGGGGCAGCUGCACCUGCAGGAAGAGGGGGGCUUAGUGCCCAGAGCAGCACUGCCCACGAGGUGUCCCAGGGGAGCACGGACUCCUGGUUAGCCGCCAGAAAGCAGAAUUAGCACCUCCUCGGAUUCAAUUAGCGGUUGUGUUCCUGGAAAGGUCGGUGCCUUAAGAUCACGCACAUUGUGAUGGAAGGAGAACAGGAGCCAGAUGAGGAGACGCCCGCAGGAUGCUCCAAAGGCAGGGGGUCCUGUGACACUUCCUCGCGUGGGCUGGCCUGUGCGUGGCUGAACGUGGAAGAGCCCGGCCCCAGGGCCAGCAGUGCCCUCCGGGCCUUGGCAACCACGGUGCUCCAGCGGUAUGGUUCCACUGUCUCUGAGAACCCCUGGCUUCGGCUUCCCGUGCAGGCCCCCCAAACCCUGCCAGGCCCUGGCUGGCGCCUGGAGACCCCCAUUACGAUGUUCCUUUAGCUGGUGCUCCAGUGGGAAACAAGCAGCCUCGUAGUUGGGACUGUGGUCAUGCCGCUGGGGACCACGGAGACCUCGGCAAGGGUGACUGGAGAAGGCGCCCACCCUCUGCCCCACUGGCCACCCCUGGGACACAGAAGUCCGCUUUGUGAAACUCCCAAACCAAACGGGGACACGUGAGGGCCAGUUUAGGUGGGCUGAGGUCGCAGGUAAGACACAUUUUCAUUCUGAAAGAAUGACAGCAGCUCCCGCAGUUUGGGGGACCCCCAAGUGGUGCCUCCAUUCCUCCCCCCGUCCCCCACAAACCUCCCUUGAGAGUUGAACACUGUCACUGGGGUGUCGGCCGUUCGGUGUGUCCUUCUGAAUUGUCACAGCCCCUCUGAGGUCUAUGAGCCCCAGGCAGAGACAGUCCCGUGUGGUCUGCAGGGGCCGAGGGCCCCAAGCAAAGGAGAGUUUGCUUUCACUCUGAGCACAAAACCCCAGUGAUGGUUCCUACUUGAGUGCAAAAAGGCCAGGCAAGCCUGGGACAACUUCAGCAACAAAAUUAAUAAUGACAGUCACGGAGUAAUAACCAGGAAUUACAGUAAUAAUGACAGUAAUAACCAAUAGAAUAAAACAAUGUCCGUGAGCCCAUAAUGGUUCAGAGCAUUGCUUCAGUCCCUGCGUGCGGGAGGGCAGACCUCGUCCAGCACAGCCCGGGUAGUCGGUGCAGGGGAGUGUUCAUGCCUCAAACGUGGCAGGACGAGCCGCCACGACAAGGACCAUCGACGGAUGCUAAAAUCAGCACACCAGAGCUCCACGGGAAAGAGGAUGUUUACAUAGUCACAUAAGACGCUCCAUAAUUACAAGGAGAAAAGGAGUAGCUUACAGCGCAGCCACGCGGUACCACUUAACCAAGUGAUGGACGUUACCACGGCUGGGAGUGGGACCCAGAGGCACAGGUGACCCCAGGCUCACGCUCCAAGAAGGACACGACGUCACUUCUGUGGGAUUCCCGCCAAAAUACACAACCACUGUGUCAUGGUGAAAAAUGUCACACAAAUGCAAACUGAGGUACGUUUUCAAAAUAACUGGCCAGUACUCCCUUUCCAAAAGUGUCAAGGUCACGGGCGACUGAGGAACGAUCCCGGAUGGGAAGAGACUAAGGGGCCACGACCAACCAAUGCCGUGUGGGACCCUGGCUGGACCCUCAACCAGAGAAAGGAGGUCACGGGUCAGCUGGUGAGGUUCCGCUGUGGCUGGAGGGUGAUGGAUUGCCGUGAAUCAACAUGAAUUGUCCCGCUCUACGUCGCAAGCCAGUAUCAGGAGAGCCCGGGGGAGGUAUCCGAACUCUGUGCUAGUUUUGCAGUUAAAAUGGUUUCAAAAUAAAUAAGUGAACGAGAAGGCCAGGGUCAAACACCUCAUAGCCUCUGGCUGGAAACUCCUAGGUCUUCCGGAGCAUGGCUCUGGCUCCUGCAUGGAUGCCUCCACCGUCCCGGCCACGGCCUCUGAAUGGACUCCAGGUGGCAACAUCUGUCCUCAAGGCAGUGUAGACACGGGGGGACUGGGGCCAGGGGGCGGAGAGCUGACCUCCCCCAUCCCCAGCCCUCUGUGAUUCUCUUACUGGAGCAGCUCCGGUAAACUUGUAAAUAGGAUGAGUCCCUGCCCCAGCCCCCGCCCCUAGCCCUAACCCUCUCCCCCUGGGGCCCCUGGGGAAAGGCCCUGUGGAGAGCGGAAUAAUGAAUCCCAAAGACGUCCACACGCUGACCCAGAGCCCGUGAAUGUUACCCUGCACGGCAGAGUCCCUGUGCAGAGGUGGAUAAGUUAACGACCCUGAGAUGGGAGAUGACCCCUGUCACCACGAGGGUCCAGGUAAGAGGGAGACAGGACGGUCUGAGUCCGUGAGAGGUCUGAAGACUCUACAGGGCUGGUUUGGAAGGUAGGGGAAGGGGCCAAGAGCUGAGAAACGCAGGUUCCUCCAGAAGCUGGAACAGGCAGGAGACAGACUCACUCCUGGAGCCUCGAGGGCGUGUCGUUCUGCCGACACCUUGAUUUUAGCCCAGUGAAAUUUCUGACCUCCAAAACAGUAAGGUAAGAAACGCGUGGGGCUUGAAGCCACUCAUUUUGUGGUCACUUGUUGUGGCAGCCACAGGACACGCGUGCACUGAGUGAGGCGGUAGUGAUGACAAUGAAUUAGGUCAUCUUGAGUGUAAACCAUGUGCCCAGCUGUUGUGCUUUAUACACGGUAGCACCUGAAUCCCCACAAGAGUGCCCAGAUAGUCGGAUCUGUCCCCACCCCAGAGAUACGGCAGCCUGGGAGUAGCGACGUAAAGUCAGCGCCCAUGGUGACCAGAUGCAGGCAGAAUAGGGGGGAGAUGGGAUUUGGACCAGGAACCUGAAUGCUCUCCUUCUGAUGACUUGUGAGAUGGCACCCCCUCUGCUCUGAUAAGUCAAAUGGGACCCUCGGUCCCCCUCACUUGCCCCCAUCGCAGCUCCUGUUUGCCAAGGAUGGUGGAGGACAUUCAUGACCGAGCUCAGCCCCCAGGCCAAUCCAGUCCCAGGGAGUUGACUUCUCACGGCCAGGACCCUCUGGUGGCAAGUGACAGAAAACCUGGCCCACAUGGACCAAAGCUAGAAAGGGAGUGUUUGGCUCACGUACGGGAAAGACCAGUGGCAGCCCUGGCCCCCUGCUGGCUGCUUUCUCCCAUGGGGCAGCCUCAAGCCAUCCUGGUCCAGCAGCAAAUGGUCCCUCCUGACAGCCCAGAGUACGUGGUCACAGCCUCUGGAGGGCCACAGUGGCCGGGGGACGGAUGCUCUGAUCCCUGGAGCUGUGGAUGGAGACAACACCGGCCUGAAGCCCAGCAGGUAGGGAGAGUGACAUAAACCAGAGAAGGAGGGAGACAAUGUUGAGGGUUAAAAACUCAGCAAAUACAGCACCUCGGCCUAGCUUCCACUCUGCAGGUAAAAGAAGUGGAGUCUGGAUCUGCCUGAGAUUACGUGGCAAAUACUCAGCAGGGCUGGGACUCUGCUCAGAGAUUCCCAACAGUGCCAUUUGAGUGUCUCCACAUACAACUGGAAAAUGAAAUUUAGAACUCAAUACCAUCUGAAACAUCACAAAACAGCAACUACCUAGGAAUAAACUCAUGAAAGAUAUGCCAAACCUUUGAGCAGAAAAACUGCAUCACAUCACUGAGGGAAGUUUAUUUGAGAACCGAAUAAAUGCAGGGAUACACCACAUCCACGGAUUGGGAGACUCAAUGGUUUAAAGAUGCCAGUUCAUCCCAAACUGAUCUAUGGAUUCAAUGCAAUUCCAUUCAAAGUCCCAGUAGCUUUUUUGGAGUCAAUAGGCGAAUCCUAAAAUUUAUGGGGAAACGUAAAGGAACAAAUAUAAUGGAGUCUAGAGUUUCUAAAACAUGUCACUCACAGCGUCUGGGAUACAAUCCAAAACAAACAAGAAAAUGUGACUCUUUCUCAAGGCAACCAACAGAGGCCAACCCUGAUGUGACCCAGACGUUAGACUCAGUAGACAAGGAUUUUAAAGCAUCUAUUUCAUUAGGCUCAAGGAUGUAAAGGAAAUUAUGUUUGUAAUAAGUGAAAAGACAG